rnacentral:rRNA from 1 species
AUGAACGCUAGCUACAGGCUUAACACAUGCAAGUCGAGGGGCAGCAUGGUCUUAGCUUGCUAAGGCCGAUGGCGACCGGCGCACGGGUGAGUAACGCGUAUCCAACCUGCCUUACACUCUUGGACAGCCUUCUGAAAGGGAGAUUAAUACAAGAUGUUAUCAUGAGUAAGCAUUUUCGCAUGAUUAAAGGUUUACCGGUGUAAGAUGGGGAUGCGUUCCAUUAGAUAGUAGGCGGGGUAACGGCCCACCUAGUCUUCGAUGGAUAGGGGUUCUGAGAGGAAGGUCCCCCACAUUGGAACUGAGACACGGUCCAAACUCCUACGGGAGGCAGCAGUGAGGAAUAUUGGUCAAUGGACGAGAGUCUGAACCAGCCAAGUAGCGUGAAGGAUGAAGGUUCUAUGGAUUGUAAACUUCUUUUAUACGGGAAUAAACGGAUCCACGUGUGGAUUUCUGCAUGUACCGUAUGAAUAAGGAUCGGCUAACUCCGUGCCAGCAGCCGCGGUAAUACGGAGGAUCCGAGCGUUAUCCGGAUUUAUUGGGUUUAAAGGGAGCGUAGAUGGGUUGUUAAGUCAGUUGUGAAAGUUUGCGGCUCAACCGUAAAAUUGCAAUUGAUACUGGCAGUCUUGAGUACAGUUGAGGUAGGCGGAAUUCGUGGUGUAGCGGUGAAAUGCUUAGAUAUCACGAAGAACUCCGAUUGCGAAGGCAGCUUACUAACCUGUAACUGACAUUGAUGCUCGAAAGUGUGGGUAUCAAACAGGAUUAGAUACCCUGGUAGUCCACACGGUAAACGAUGAAUACUCGCUGUAGGCGAUAUACGGUCUGCGGCCAAGCGAAAGCAUUAAGUAUUCCACCUGGGGAGUACGCCGGCAACGGUGAAACUCAAAGGAAUUGACGGGGACCCGCACAAGCGGUGGAGCAUGUGGUUUAAUUCGAUGCAACGCGAAGAACCUUACCUGGUCUUGACAUCCACGGAAGUUUUCAGAGAUGAGAAUGUGCCUUCGGGAACCGUGAGACAGGUGCUGCAUGGCUGUCGUCAGCUCGUGCCGUGAGGUGUCGGCUUAAGUGCCAUAACGAGCGCAACCCUUGCCGAUAGUUACUAACAGGUUAUGCUGAGGACUCUGUCGGGACUGCCAUCGUAAGAUGUGAGGAAGGUGGGGAUGACGUCAAAUCAGCACGGCCCUUACGUCCGGGGCUACACACGUGUUACAAUGGGGGGUACAGAGGGCUGCUACCACGCAAGUGGAUGCCAAUCCCAAAAACCUCUCUCAGUUCGGAUUGAAGUCUGCAACCCGACUUCAUGAAGCUGGAUUCGCUAGUAAUCGCGCAUCAGCCACGGCGCGGUGAAUACGUUCCCGGGCCUUGUACACACCGCCCGUCAAGCCAUGGGAGCCGGGGGUACCUGAAGUGCGUAACCGCAAGGAGCGCCCUAGGGUAAAACUGGUGACUGGGGCU